rnacentral:rRNA from 1 species
CAAUAGCGUAUAUUAAAGUUGUUGCGGUUAAAAAGCUCGUAGUUGGAUUUCUGUUGAGGACAUCCGGUCCGCAUUUUGUGCGUGUAUCUGGUAUGGCCUCGGCAUCCUCUUGAAGACGUAUCUGCGAUUGAUUUCGUGGUGCGAAUUUCAAGACUUUUACUUUGAGGAAAUUAGAGUGUUCACGGCAGGCAAUCGCCUUGAAUAUAUUAGCAUGGAAUAAUAAUAUAGGAUCGCGAUUCUAUUUUGUUGGUUUCUAGAAUCACGAUAAUGAUUAAUAGGGAUAAUUGGGGGCGAUUUGUAUUAACGCGUCAGAGGUGGAAUUCUUGGAUUUGUUAAAGACGGACUACUGCGAAAGCAUUUGCCAAGGAUGUUUUCAUUGAUCAAGAACGAAAGUUAGGGAUCGAAGACGAUCAGAUACCAU